rnacentral:rRNA from 1 species
AUGUCUUAUCUACGUAAAAAGUCCAUGGAUUUCCUCAAGACAUUCGACAUGCCGCCGAAAAACCCGUCGGAGGACGCGCAGCGCCGGUGGCGGGAGGCCGUCGGCACGCUCGUCAAGAACCGGCGGCGCCGCUUUCGCAUGGUCCCUGACCUCGACAAGCGAUCUCAGGCCGAGACGCAGCGCCGCAACAUCCAGGAAAAGCUUCGUGUAGCUCUCUACGUGCAGAAGGCCGCUCUGCAGUUCAUCGAUGCCGCCCGCAGGGUGGAGCACCCGCUGUCGGAGCUGGCGCGGCAGAGCGGCUUCUCCAUCAGUGCCGAGGAGCUGGCCUCGUUGGUGCGCGGCCACGACACCAAGAGCCUGCGCCUCCACAAGGGCGUCGAGGGCCUGGCGCGCAAGGUGAACGUCUCCCUCGCCGACGGCGUCCGGUCCGAGGACGUGGGCGUCCGCGGCGAGGUCUACGGCGCCAACCACUACCCCGAGAAGGCGGCCCGCACGUUCUGGAUGUACCUGUGGGACGCCAGCCAGGACACGACGCUCAUGCUGCUCGCGUUCUGCGCCGUCGUCUCCGUCGUCAUCGGCAUCGCCACCGAGGGGUGGCCGGGCGGCAUGUACGACGGCAUCGGCAUCAUGCUCACCAUCUCCCUCGUCGUCACCAUCACCGCCGCCAGCGACUACAAGCAGUCCCUGCAGUUCCGGGACCUCGACCGGGAGAAGAAGAAGAUCGAGAUCCAGGUCACGCGCGACGGCUUCCGGCAGAAGGUGUCCAUCUACGACAUCGUCGUCGGCGACAUCGUGCAUCUGUCCAUCGGCGACCAGGUGCCGGCGGACGGGCUGUUCAUUGAUGGCUACUCGUUCAUCGUCGACGAGUCGAGCCUGUCCGGCGAGAGCGAGCCGGUGCACGUGUCGGCCACGAACCGGUUCCUGCUGGGCGGGACCAAGGUGCAGGACGGCUCGGCGAGGAUGCUGGUGACGGCGGUGGGGAUGCGGACGGAGUGGGGCAACCUGAUGGAGACGCUGAGCCAGGGCGGCGAGGACGAGACGCCUCUGCAGGUGAAGCUCAACGGCGUGGCCACCAUCAUCGGCAAGAUUGGGCUCGCCUUCGCGGUGCUCACCUUCACCGUGCUCAUGGCGAGGUUCCUGAUCGGCAAGGCUGCUUCCCCAGGCGGCCUGGUGACAUGGGGGAUGGCGGACGCGCUGUCGGUGCUCAACUUCUUCGCCGUCGCAGUCACCAUCAUCGUGGUCGCGGUACCAGAGGGCCUGCCGCUCGCCGUCACGCUCAGCCUGGCGUUCGCCAUGAAGAAACUCAUGCAGGAGCGCGCUCUCGUGCGGCACCUCUCGGCGUGCGAGACCAUGGGUUCGGCCAGCUGCAUCUGCACCGACAAGACGGGCACGCUCACCACGAACCACAUGGUCGUCGAGAAAGUCUGGGCUGCCGGCGGGGCGACCACGGUGAGCACCGCCAAGGGCUUCGAGGAGUUCACCUCUUCGGCGCUGUCGGAGGGGUUCGCCAAGCUUCUUCUGGAGGGCGUCUUCCAGUGCUCCGGCUCGGAGGUCGUGCGCGGCAAGGACGGCAAGACCAGCGUCAUGGGCACGCCCACCGAGUCGGCCAUCCUCGAGUUCGGGCUCGGGGUGGAGAAGAACACCUGCAUCGAGCACACCGCCGCCGCGAAGCUCAAGGUGGAGCCGUUCAACUCGGUGAAGAAGACGAUGGCCGUGGUGGUCGCGUCCCCGAACGCCGGCGGCCGGCCACGCGCGUUCCUCAAGGGCGCAUCGGAGGUCGUGCUCCGCCGGUGCAGCAGCGUGGUCGUCGACCGCCACGGCAGCAUCGUGGCCCUCGCGGAGAAGAACUACAUGAAGCAGGUGGCCGGCGCCAUCGACAAGUUCGCGUGCGAGGCGCUGCGCACGCUCUGCCUGGCGUACCAGGACGUCGGCGGCGAGAACGAGGUCCCCAACGACGGGUACACGCUCAUCGCCGUGUUCGGCAUCAAGGACCCGCUCCGGCCGGGCGUGAGGGAGGCCGUGAGGACCUGCCACGUCGCGGGGAUCAACGUCCGCAUGGUCACCGGCGACAACAUCAGCACGGCCAAGGCCAUCGCGAGGGAGUGCGGCAUCCUCACUGCGGACGGCGUCGCCAUCGAGGGCCCCGAGUUCCGGCAGAUGAGCCCCGACCAGAUGAGGGCGAUCAUACCAAAAAUCCAGGUGAUGGCGCGGUCGCUGCCGCUGGACAAGCACACGCUGGUGACCAACCUGAGGGGCAUGUUCAACGAGGUGGUGGCCGUCACCGGCGACGGCACCAACGACGCGCCGGCGCUGCACGAGGCUGACAUUGGCCUCGCCAUGGGCAUCGCCGGAACAGAGGUUGCCAAGGAGAACGCCGACGUGAUCAUCAUGGACGACAACUUCUCCACCAUCAUCAACGUGGCCAAAUGGGGACGCUCCGUGUACAUCAACAUCCAGAAGUUCGUGCAGUUCCAGCUCACCGUCAACGUGGUGGCACUCAUGGUGAACUUCGUCUCUGCAUCUUUCACAGGGAGCGCGCCGCUGACGAUCGUGCAGCUGCUGUGGGUGAACCUGAUCAUGGACACCCUGGGCGCGCUGGCGCUGGCGACGGAGCCGCCGAGCGACGACAUGAUGCGGAGGCCGCCGGUGGGCCGAGGCGACAACUUCAUCACCAAGGUCAUGUGGAGGAACAUCGCGGGCCAGAGCAUCUUCCAGCUCGUCGUGCUCGGCGUCCUCCUCGCCAGAGGGGACAGCCUCCUGCAGAUGAACGGCGACAAGGAACUGCUCAACACCUUCGUCUUCAACACCUUUGUCUUCUGCCAGGUCUUCAACGAGGUGAACAGCCGGGAGAUGGAGAAGACCAACGUCUUCAGCGGCAUCUUCAGCAGCUGGGUCUUCUCGGCGGUGGUCGGCGCCACCGUCGGGUUCCAGGUGAUCCUCGUGGAGCUGCUGGGGACGUUCGCCGGCACGGUGCACCUCAGCGGGAGGCUGUGGCUCAUGAGCGUGCUCAUCGGGUCGGUCGGCCUGGUCAUCGGCGCCAUCCUCAAGUGCAUCCCUGUUGGCUCCGGCGACGGCUCGUCGGAUCGCCACGACGGAUACCAGCCCAUCCCCACCGGCCCGAGCGCCGUGUGA